rnacentral:misc_RNA from 1 species
GAACGCACAUUGCGCCCCUUGGUAUCCCGAGGGGCAUGCCUGUUCGAGCGUCAUUUCACCACUCAAGCCUGGCUUGGUGUUGGGCGACGUCCCCUUUAGGGACGCGCCUCGAAACACUCGGCGGCGUGGCACCGGCUUUAAGCGUAGCAGAAUCUUUCGCUUUGAAAGUCGGGGCCCCGUCUGCCGGAAGACCUACUCACAAGGUUGACCUCGGAUCAGGUAGGGAUACCCGCUGAACUUAAG